UAGCCGUAAACGAUACUCGCUAGGUGUCGGCCACGGUGCGACCGUUGUCGGUGCCGUAGGGAGGCCGUGAAGCGAGCCACCUGGGAAGUACGGCCGCAAGGCUGAAACUUAAAGGAAUUGGCGGGGGAGCACAACAACGGGUGGAGCUUGCGGUUUAAUUGGAUUCAACGCCGGAAAUCUUACCGGGACCGACAGCAACAUGAAGGCCAAGCUGAAGACUUUGCCGGAUUAGCUGAGAGGAGGUGCAUGGCGUAGACGUCU
rnacentral:rRNA from 1 species